GACGAACGCUGGCGGCGUGCCUAAUACAUGCAAGUCGAGCGAAUCAAUAGGAGCUUGCUCCUGUUGAUUAGCGGCGGACGGGUGAGUAACACGUGGGCAACCUGCCUGUAAGACUGGGAUAACACCGGGAAACCGGUGCUAGUACCGGAUAAUCCUUUUCCUCUCAUGAGGGAAAGCUGAAAGUCGGUUUCGGCUGACACUUACAGAUGGGCCCGCGGCGCAUUAGCUAGUUGGUGAGGUAACGGCUCACCAAGGCGACGAUGCGUAGCCGACCUGAGAGGGUGAUCGGCCACACGGGGACUGAGACACGGCCCAGACUCCGACGGGAGGCAGCAGUAGGGAAUCUUCCACAAUGGACGAAAGUCUGAUGGAGCAACGCCGCGUGAGCGAUGAAGGCCUUCGGGUCGUAAAGCUCUGUUGUUAGGGAAGAACAAGUACCGGAGUAACUGCCGGUACCUUGACGGUACCUAACCAGAAAGCCACGGCUAACUACGUGCCAGCCGCCGCCGUAA
rnacentral:rRNA from 1 species